GAACCUUACCUGGCCUUGACAUCCCAGGAACCCUGAAGAGAUUCGGGGGUGCCGCAAGGAGCCUGGAGACAGGUGCUGCAUGGCUGUCGUCAGCUCGUGUCGUGAGAUGUUGGGUUAAGUCCCGCAACGAGCGCAACCCUUGUCCUGUGUUGCCAUCAUUAAGUUGGGCACUCUCGGGAGACCGCCAGCGAUAAGUUGGAGGAAGGUGGGGAUGAUGUCAAGUCAUCAUGGCCUUUAUGUCCAGGGCUACACACGUGCUACAAUGGACGGUACAAACCGCUGCAAACCCGCGAGGGAGAGCUAAUCGGAAAAAACCGUUCUCAGUUCGGAUCGCAGGCUGCAACUCGCCUGCGUGAAGCUGGAAUCGCUAGUAAUGGCGUAUCAGAACGACGCCGUGAAUACGUUCCCGGGCCUUGUCACACCGA
rnacentral:rRNA from 1 species